GAUGAACGCUGGCGGCGUGCCUAAUACAUGCCAGUCGAGCGAACGGACGAGAAGCUUGCUUCUCUGAUGUUAGCGGCGGACGGGUGAGUAACACGUGGAUAACCUACCUAUAAGACUGGGAUAACUUCGGGAAACCGGAGCUAAUACCGGAUAAUAUUUUGAACCGCAUGGUUCAAAAGUGAAAGACGGUUUUGCUGUCACUUAUAGAUGGAUCCGCGCUGCAUUAGCUAGUUGGUAAGGUAACGGCUUACCAAGGCAACGAUGCAUAGCCGACCUGAGAGGGUGAUCGGCCACACUGGAACUGAGACACGAUCCAGACUCCUACGGGAGGCAGCAGUAGGGAAUAUUCCGCAAUGGGCGAAAGCCUGACGGAGCAACGCCGCGUGAGUGAUGAAGGUCUUCGGAUCGUAAAGCUCUGUUAUUAGGGAAGAACAUAUGUGUAAGUAACUGUGCACAUCUUGACGGUACCUAAUCAGAAAGCCACGGCUAACUACGUG
rnacentral:rRNA from 1 species